GACGUUACGUCUUUGUUAUAUACGUCAAUGACAUCGAACGUCAUGGUAACAAAGUUGGGCAUGUUUUGUCAAAGAGUGCCACUCUCGGAUGGCAGUCAGUCAGUCCUUCCCAAUACCAGAAGUUACUCGCUCUUGGUUUCCGGCCCAGUACCCUCUUGCUGGACCCGGACUGCGUGUAUGAUGUCACCUGCCACCGCGCCUAUAGUACGCAUGCACCACGAUCCCGGAAGGAGAGCCCACAGAAACCGGACGCACCUAGCGGGAUCGCGGCACGGGGCGCUGUUGAUCCUCAGAUAGAUGGAGCGAGUCCUGACGCCAAAGUCGCCACCCCAAACCCGAGAAUUGCCAACAACAACUGUUGUUGAAUGGCGUCAAUCGCAAACAGCUCUCCAGGCCUAAGGUUCACAUUAUUCGAGAACAACAUAAUGAGGUCAGUCACAUUAACGGACGUGUCACGCAAUGCCUGCUCUACCUGUUG